UAAACAGGAAUAAUGACGGAUAAACUUUCUGGGAGUCGUUACCUUAAGCAUGUGAGAGGUCCUCAAUCAGUGCUGGCUUCACUGUAGGAAGUACCUCCCUAUCUAUAGCUACUACAAUGUUUCUUGGAGAAAAUGACCAUCCACAGGAGAAUGAACGCAAGCCCUGGACUGGCUUGACAGAAAACAUGAACCUUGAGGGAGUUGUUUCGACAAGACAGAGCUGACAUGAAGCCAAAAUUCUGGCCCAGGGUACUACAAUGAACUUUCAGAAGGAACCAGAACCCAUAUCAGGACACCAGAAGGAGUGUUGGCUCUGGGGACUGCCAUCUCUUGAGUGAUUUAACAGUUGCAUCAUUGGCAGUGGAUUGGAGGAGAAAAAAGAAACCCCAUCUUCUACUCUUGGUUCUACUCUUCAAGGAACACAGAGGAAAAUGUGAAGAGCAAACUCCACGGCCAAGUCUCUCCUCAGAGCUGAAUGGCAUAGAGUAGAAUCAUUUUGACUUUUAUCUGGGCUACAAGUGACAUGGCUGAUUUUUCUAGCCAAUCAUUAGAAGUGACCUGUGUUCCUCAGUUGCUCUCAUCCAAUGCCCUAAAAUUCUAUUUAGUUGUUUGAGAGCUUCAUUACACUUGGUUAGCAAGUUAUUUAAGAAAAUUAAUUUGUACUACAUUAUCAGGUUGUAUAUUUUAAUUCCUCUACUAAGGCAACCUGGUAUGGUGGAGAGAGAGAGAGUUGUCUUUGAAGCCAAGAAGACUUCCAUUUAAGUCCUGCCACAGAUCUAGUCCCUGUCUUUAUCUCCAGUAUAAGGAUGUAAGUAAGGACUAUGUCUUUUUGUUUUUUAGGCAAUUGAGGUUAAGUGACUUGCCCAGAG